CAGUAGCCGCGGGAAAACGUAGGGUGCAAGCGUUAAUCGGAAUUACUGGGCGUAAAGGGUGCGUAGGCGGUUUGAUAAGUCUGAUGUGAAAUCUAUUGGCUCAACCCAUAGUCUGCAUCGGAAACUGUCAGGCUUGAGAGUGGGAGAGGUGAGUGGAAUUUCCGGUGUAGCGGUGAAAUGCGUAGAUAUCGGAAGGAACACCUGUGGCGAAAGCGGCUCACUGGACCAUUUCUGACGCUGAUGCACGAAAGCUAGGGGAGCAAACAGGAUUAGAUACCCCGGUAGUCCCUGUCUCUUAUAC
rnacentral:rRNA from 1 species